rnacentral:rRNA from 1 species
UAAUACGUAGGUGGCAAGCGUUGUCCGGAAUCACUGGGCGUAAAGCGCGCGCAGGCGGCGAUCUACGUCUGGGGUGAAAGCCCGGAGCUCAACUCCGGGACUGCCUUGGAUACGGGAUCGCUUGAGGAUUGGAGAGGCAAGGGGAAUUCCACGUGUAGCGGUGAAAUGCGUAGAUAUGUGGAGGAACACCUGUGGCGAAGGCGCCUUGCUGGCCAAUUUCUGACGCUGAGGCGCGAAAGCGUGGGGAGCAAACAGGAUUAGAUACCCUGGUAGUCCACGCCGUAAACGAUGAGUGCUAGGUGUUGGGGGGUACCACCCUCAGUGCCGAAGCUAACGCAUUAAGCACUCCGCCUGGGGAGUACGGUCGCAAGACUG